UACGUAGGGAGCAAGCGUUGUCCGGAAUCACUGGGCGUAAAGGGCGCGUAGGUGGCCACCAUAAGGCCGCGGUGAAAGUCUGGGGCUCAACCCCGGAUCGGCCGCGGCGACUGUGGGGCUUGGGCACCGUAGAGGCAGAUGGAAUUCCGGGUGUAGCGGUGGAAUGCGUAGAGAUCCGGAAGAACACCAGUGGCGAAGGCGGAUCUCUGGGCCUUACCUGACGCUCAGGUGCGAAAGCUAGGGGAGCGAACAGG
rnacentral:rRNA from 1 species